rnacentral:rRNA from 1 species
AUAUUGGACAAUGGGCGAAAGCCUGAUCCAGCAAUGCCGCGUGAGUGAUGAAGGCCCUAGGGUUGUAAAGCUCUUUUACCCGGGAUGAUAAUGACAGUACCGGGAGAAUAAGCUCCGGCUAACUCCGUGCCAGCAGCCGCGGUAAUACGGAGGGAGCUAGCGUUGUUCGGAUAUACUGGGCGUAAAGCGCACGUAGGCGGCGCCGUAAGUCAGGGGUGAAAUCCCGGAGCUCAACUCCGGAACUGCCCUUGAAACUGCAGUGCUAGAAUCCUGGAGAGGCGAGUGGAAUUCCGAGUGUAGAGGUGAAAUUCGUAGAUAUUCGGAAGAACACCAGUGGCGAAGGCGGCUCACUGGACGACUGUUGACGCUGAGGUACGAAAGCGUGGGGAGCAAACAGG